UUGAGAUAUUGGUUAAAAAGAAGCGAUAAAAAUGUAUUAGAACUUUUGCUCUUGUGUUUGUUGAAAUUCAUUAAAAUAAUUCCACAAUAAUUGUUUUUAUGCAAUUUUAGAAUGCAAUGAAUAAUAAAAUAUAAUAACUUAAAGUGAAGAAGACCUCAUGAAAAGCCAAAUCAUUUUGACAGCCGCUUUAACGGAACUUUCUGUGGCGAAUGGCAAGACGCUUUAUUAUAAUUAUUGUGUCAUAGAAAUAAGUCAGUUCACAAACUUUGUAGUGGCUUAAAAAUUGUUUUUAUGCAAUUUGGAAUGUGAUGAAGAAUAAAAUAAAAUGAACUGAACUAAAGACGACAUGAAGAGCAGAAUCAUUUUAACAGUUGCUGUAACGGGACUUUCUUUUUUUGUGGGUUAGGACAAGACGCUGUUUGUUUGUUGCGCCAUAGAAAUAAGAAUUAAGUUAGUCAACAAGCAAUAUUUUAGCGUCUUGAAAAUCUGAACAACUUGAAGCUCAGAAACGGACAAAAGGAAUAAUGAAAGUGUAUUUAAAAGAAUUUAAAAAAUAUUGAGGAUUGGUGCUCCACAAGGAAAGCAUUUUUAUUAUCACCCAUAGUGAAAUACACAUUUGGCACUCACAUUUAAGGAAUAAUGACAGAUAAAGAGAAAAAAAACAAAAUGGUCUCGCUUCAGGCAAAGAUUUUGGGGUUUCAAUUAAGCUAAAUUUUCAAUUUUUUUUUUUGAUCCCACAUUCAGGGAUAUUCACCAUUUCGGCACUGAAGAUAGAAAUAUGUAUAUAGAGAGAAGUGAUCAUAUAUUUGGUCCUAUGAACUAAAAAUAAGUAUACCAAAUUCGUAUAAAACUUUCCUCUAAAAUGUAUGCUGAUUUUUAAUACCAGCGGUGUAUUAGUUACGUCAAAGUCAUUAAAUGGAAGUCUAGGAAGUAAUAUGAUUUAAUUGAGAUGUCUUAUAACACAAUAAUCCUAAUGAAAAUUUAUAAUAUUGGCACGUAAAUCAUCGAUAAAUAACCAAGUCUUAAUAAUGACCCAACUUUUGCUGAUGAUGAUUGCGAUUGUGCCCUUUAAAAUGAUGCGUCACAAAUUGAUGGAACUUAUACUGCGGCUUGUACGUAUUUUAUUCAUUUUUGCUAUUUGCCGGAUAACAUAAUCCAAGAUGCUGUAUAUUGUUAUCGUUAUUGAUGCAUAGUUAAAAAAUAAAUAAUGAAUUUACGACUAAAAAGCUAAUUUUUCAUAACUUUUCCUGCGAAUUUCCAUCUAAAUGAUGUCGACAACUAUUGUCAAGUAAGAGAUAACUUCCAAUUGAUAUAUUCGUUUAUUGAAACAAUAAUUAAACUUAACUCAAUUUAAUAAAACAACAUUAUCUUCAAGAAAAUGAAAACGCAAACAAAUCAUCAAAAGCUAAGCUUUUCGUUUAUUAAAACAAUAACUAAACUCAACUUUAUUUAAUGAAACAAC